rnacentral:lncRNA from 1 species
CUUUCCCAAUUUGUACUCCAACUCUUGCCGUUUUCGGCAUUAAGUUAUAUUUAUUUCUCGAGUUCGGGUCUUUGUCUCCGUGUGUUGUUUUCGUUUUCAUGCAUCUCAUAUCAUGUCAUCACGUGCAUUGCAUUUGCAUGCAUGUUCAUCUCAUGCAUUCGAGCAUUUUCCCCGUUGUCCGUUUUGCAUUCCGGCGCUUCGUUCUCCUCCGGUGGCCAUUUCUAGCUUUCUUUCGUGUGUGGGGAUUAAACAUUUCCGGAUUGGACCGAGACUUUCCAUGCGGCCUUGGUUUACUACCGGUAGACCGCCUGUCAAGUUUCGGGUCAUUUGGACUUCGUUUGAUACUCCAACGGUUAACUGAGGGACCGAAAAUGCCUCGUGUGUGUUGCAGCCCAACACCCCUCCAAUUUGGCCCAAAACCCACCAAACUCUGCUCCAUCGUCUCGGUCGUUCGAUCACGAUCGCGUGGGCGAAAACCGCACCUCAUUUGGACACUCCUAUCUCCCUCUAUGCCUAUAUAUACACCCCUCCCUCCAAAAAAUCUCGGAUCCCCUCCGUCCCUAACCUCAGAUCCACCUCCACCCGCGGCGCACCGGACAAGGUCCGCGUCGACGGACGUAUCCAGAUCCGCCUGCGCCGCCACGUGUCGCUCCGUCAUUGGCCGCGCCGCCCUCGCCCCACAUCNNNNNNNNNNNNNNNNNNNNNNNNNNNNNNNNNNNNNNNNNNNNNNNNNNNNNNNNNNNNNNNNNNNNNNNNNNNNNNNNNNNNNNNNNNNNNNNNNNNNNNNNNNNNNNNNNNNNNNNNNNNNNNNNNNNNNNNNNNNNNNNNNNNNNNNNNNNNNNNNNNNNNNNNNNNNNNNNNNNNNNNNNNNNNNNNNNNNNNNNNNNNNNNNNNNNNNNNNNNNNNNNNNNNNNNNNNNNNNNNNNNNNNNNNNNNNNNNNNNNNNNNNNNNNNNNNNNNNNNNNNNNNNNNNNNNNNNNNNNNNNNNNNNNNNNNNNNNNNNNNNNNNNNNNNNNNNNNNNNNNNNNNNNNNNNNNNNNNNNNNNNNNNNNNNNNNNNNNNNNNNNNNNNNNNNNNNNNNNNNNNNNNNNNNNNNNNNNNNNNNNNNNNNNNNNNNNNNNNNNNNNNNNNNNNNNNNNNNNNNNNNNNNNNNNNNNNNNNNNNNNNNNNNNNNNNNNNNNNNACCUCGCCGCCCGGCGCCGGCGACCACGCCCCGGCGCCCCCUCCUCUCACCGGCCUCGGAUCCGGCCGGAUCCACCGCUCCCACGCAACCCCGCCGCUUCUUCGAGCUCCGGCGGUUACAGUGUUUUCCGGCGAGCCUCGAGAUCCGUGCCACCAAAACCCUAGAUCUGGACCUGAGGAUCCCUAGGGUUGACUUUCCCUUCCCCUCUUAAUUUUUUAUGCUAUGUUUGACUGCUCAUAUCUCCGCAUCCGUAGCUCCGUUUUGGACAUAUGAUAUAUCAAAAUCUUCGCCUCGACGAGUACAUCAUUUCAUUCCAUUGCAUCAUUUGCAUUUGAGUUCAUCUUGAUGCCCAAAAUGCUGUUAGAAGGAGGCAUCAUGAGUUAAACUGCAGAUCCGUUAGCUCAUCAUUGACUUUUGUCAUUUUUGCCAUGAUUAUUGUGUGCAUGAUAUGCCUGUGACCCUUUGAGAUGAAUUGUUAAGCAUUUUGUCUUCUUUCCAGAGGUGCCACCUAUGCAUUUUUAGGAUGUGUGUGGUGUCUUGUGCAAGCUUGCAAAGAGGGGCACCUGAGUAAUCUGUUUUUAGGGACUUAGUGAUUUUUCACUAAGUCUGGGAAGUUUUAGUUCAUGAUGCUAUAUGUCCAGCUUGUUUCCUAGUGAUCCGUGCCUCUUUUGAGGAUGAUCAGUAAGGGAGUUUUGAUAUUUAUGUUGUGCUUUAUCCAUCCAUGUCUUUACUUGUUAUGUUGGAGCACCCUAGGUUGAGUCAAUCGAGCUCAACUUUUGCAUCGUUGUUAAUUUGGGCAGAUCGUGAACUCUUUUGCGAUUUUGCCGGUGCUAUUGCUAGUGAUCCAUGCAUGCUAUGCCAUCGUUCUUGCCAUGUCUAGCUAGCAUUUUGUGGCUUCUUUAUGGAUAUAUGCUUGCCUUGCCAUGACUUGCACCAUAGUGAGUGCAUCGAGCUCGUUUACAUGCCUCCGUGAGUUAUAAUUUCAGCAUGUCUCAGUUUUCACUAAGUCUGAAAACUGAUUGUGUUUCAUCUAUGUUCGUGUGCUCGGUAGAGUAUUUUGUGAACCCUUUUGGCCCCAGGUCACUUUGGGUCUUUUGUUAAGCUUGUUGAGUAGCUCCAUGCCAUGCUCUUACUUGUCAUGUUCAGGUUAUGUUUCAUGUUGUUUUGCUACUCCGAAGAGAGCAUCGUGGUCUGAGAUUUCAGACUAGUGUUAAUUUCACUAAGUCUGAAAUCUGUUUUGCUUAUUCAUUUUUGCCAUGCUUGUUUGAACCCCUUAAUGGAUGAAUUUGCCUAUAGCCCAGUCCUAGUGAUUUGUUAAGCAUCUUGUGUAUAUCCCUGCCAUGGUUUUUGUUUUCAUGUUUGGUGGCUGUAGCAUGUUCAUUUCGUUGCAUUUAGGAGCCUACUUGCCGUAAAUCGCAGAUCGGUUCGUUUCGUAAAACGCUUGCCAUUUCCAAACCGUAGCUCCGAUUCCUAUGAUAUUUAUAUCGUUUUCAGGGGAUUUCUUCCCCCCUAUCCAGUGGCACACUUGGUUUUCCAAGUUGAGGCCAGGUUCAUGCAUUUCCUGUCACGUCUUGCAUUUUGCAUCCCGCAUCGCAUCCCGCAUAGCAUACCAUCUUUGCAUAUUAUUGGUUGCCCUUGCACGUGGUUGAUUGUAUCCUUGUUGCUUGUUUGUGUUGUUAGGUAGAGCCGGGAGACGAGUUCGCUAACGAGGAGCCCGUUGAGUUUGCUUUUGAGGAUCCAGCCAACUCUGACAACUGUGCAGGCAAGAUGAUCCUACCCUCGAAAUCACUACUAUCUUUGCUAUGCUAGUUUGCUCGCUCUUUUGCUUUGCCAAUGCUACGAUGCCUACCACUUGCUUGUCAGCCUCCCAAUUGCCAUGAUUGAGCCUCUAACCCACCUUCGUCCUAGCAAACCGUUGAUUGGCUAUGUUACCGCUUUGCUCAGCCCCCUUCUUAUAGCGUUGCUAGUUGUAGGUGAAGAUUGGAGCCGUUCCUUGUUGGAACAUUUAUUUACUUGUUGGGAUAUCAUUAUAUUGCCAUGUUAUCUUAAUGCAUCUAUAUACUUGGUAAAGGGUGGAAGGCUCGGCCUCUCGCCUUGUGUUUUGUUCCACUCUUGCCGCCCUAGUUUUCCGUCAUAUCGGUGUUAUGUUCCCAGAUUGUUGCGUCCCUCACGCGGUUGGGCUAUAAUGGGAACCCCUUGAUAGUUCGCCUUGAUUAAAGCUUUUCCAGCAAUGCCCAACAUUGGUUUUACCAUUUGCCACCUAGCCUCUUUUUCCCUUGGGUUUCCGGAGCCCGAGGGUCAACUUAUUUUAACCCCCCCGGGCCAGUGCUCCUCUGAGUGUUGGUCCAACUGUCAGCUGCCGGUGGCCACUAGGGGCAACUCUGGGCUGGCCUACCCGUACCUAGGACAAUCUGAGUGUGCCCUGAGAAAGAGAUAUGUGCAGCUCCUAUCGGGAUUUGUCGGCACAUUCGGGCGGUGUUGUUGGACUUGUUUUAACCUGUCGAAUCAUCUUGUUGUACCGAGAUACCGAGUCUGAUCGGUGUGUCUUGGGUGGAGGUCUAUUCCUUCAUUGACCGUGAGAGCUUGUUAUGGGCUAAGUUGGGACCCCCCUGCAGGGAUUGAUCUUUCGAAAGCCGUGCCCGCGGUUAUGGGCAGAUGGGAUUUUGUUAAUGUCCGGUUGUAGAUAACUUGAACCUUAAUUAAUUAAAAUGAAUCAACUGAGUGUGUUGCCGUGAUGGCCUCUUCUCGGCGGAGUCCGGGAAGUGGACACGGUGUUGGAGUUACGUUUGCGCAGGUUGCUCUCUAGUCUCUCGCUCGUGCUUUGCCUCCUCUUCUCGCUCUCUUUUGCGAAUAAGUUAGCCACCAUAUAUGCUAGUCGCUUGCUGCAGCUCCACUUAUACAUUACCCCUUUCCUACCUAUUAAGCUUAAAUAGUCUUGAUCGCGAGGGUGCGAGAUUGCUGAGUCCCUGUGGCUCACAGAUUACUAUUACACCAGAUGCAGGGACAGAUGAUACAGCUCCAGAUGGCGCGCUCGAGCUCAAGUGGGAGUACGACGAGGACUCUCAGCGUUACUAUGUGUCUUUUCCUGAUGAUCAGUAGUGGUGCCUAUUCGGGGUUAGAUUCAGGGCCUUGUCACAUGUUGGGGGUCUUUUCUAUUUUGGCACCGUAGUCGGGCCAUGAGUGAUUUGUAUGAUGGAUGUUAUUUAUGUACUUUGACGUGAUGUGACGAGUGUAAGCCAACUAUGUUCUUCCCCUUUAUAUUAUUAUGUACAUGGGAUGUGUGAUGAUUUCCCGACUUGCGACAUUGCUUUCAAUGCGGCUAUGCCUCUAAGUCGUGCCUCGACACGUGGGAGAUAUAGCCGCAUUGAGUGCGUUACAAGUUGGUAAUCAGAGCCUUCCCCGACCUUAGGAGCCCCCAUUGCUUGAUCGUUUUAGCAGCCGAGUUGUGUCUAGAAAAAUGUUUUGAGUCCUUAGGAAUUAUAUAUCGGAGAGCUUAGGAAUUCUUUUUUACUUCCCAGUCUCCUCAUCGCUCUGGUAAGGCAUCCUGACGUAGAGUUUUGACUCUUCUCUUCUCAAAUUUCACUAAAAAUUUUUUUAGGAUCACGCGAGUAUCUUGGUUUUGUUCCGAUGGCUUAUGAUGAGAAUACUGUCUUGGUGCCUCCUGUCAGGGGUUUAGUGGAAGUGUCCCGGGGAGUUGAGCUCUGAGGUGUUGUCAUCAUAAUUUUAUCGUUGCAAUUCUGGUAUACUUGAGAUAUGUUCGCGACAUCGAAAAUCUCCUUUAUGCAGUUCGUUGGUGAGAUAACCUCGACGCCACCCAGUACUGGGGCGGGAGUUCGGGAGUAUCGUCAUAACUUGUAUAACGGAUGCUUUUCGAAGGUUGAGGUAGAUGGUUUCCGAAGAUUUCUUGGUUAUGUGUUGAAGGAUGGAUACAACUGGAUGUAGGAUUUGCUAGCUUGGGUGAGAUAUUAUGCUUCCCCUAUAUCCCCAACACCUGAUUGCAUAACCGGAAAGUUUCGGGAGUUCCAUAGGUGGGAAUUCAAGUAGCUCUUAGGAUAUCUUUCCAACAGAUGUAUGGUAUGAAAUUGGGGUUCGACGUCUAGUGGUUCGCCUAUUCACGGUCGAUUUUACAGUGGUCUCGUUGUGUCUUAAAGAGUCCUUGGCUAUGCUGACUCGGGGACGCUUCGUAUGUCAUGUGCACUGCCUUGUACAUGAUGGUGCUGUACGAUCGAGCCCGUGUAGGUCCCACCACGAAAACUUCGGACGAAAUUUCGAUCAUAUGUUUGUUCCGGCUUAUUUCACAAGCCAACCCUUGGUUUUAUUUUCAGUUGUGGUAUUCAAGUUCCUUCGUCGUCAUAUGUGGAUUCCAUCCCUCGUUGAUGUACCCAUUCUACCUGAUUCUUCGUGGCUUCGCAAUUUAGGAAUAUGUGACCACUUCAAGAGAAGUGCAUUCGUUCAUUUUGUUCGGAUGUGAAGAUUUUGUUGCAAUUUUCAUUCCGUUGGAUUCACCUUCAAUAUUUGUCUAUUUGUGUGCUAAUGGUGGUCAACCUCUUCAGGAUGGCUCCUCCAAUGCGCACGACUCCGAACCCUGAUCCGCCACCACCUCCACCGCCUCCGGAGGCUUGGCAAGCUGUGAUGGCCGCAACUAAUGCAAAUACACAGUUGAUCAUGCAAAUCCUCCAAGAGCGGAAUCAAGGCAGUCAAGGGAAUCAAGGCAACAAUCAGAACCAUUAUGCUACUCUGAACCAGUUCCUCGCAAAUGGUCCAAAGACGUUAAGCAACUGUGUUGAGGCUACCGAUGCUGACGAUUGGCUAGUCGAUCUGGGCAAGCAUUUUGAAUGCAGCAACGUCAGGCCUGAAGAUUUCGUCAAGUUCGCUUCUUUCCAGCUCAAAGAUCAGGCCGCAGAGUGGUUCCAGCAGUACAAGGAUUCCAGAGGUGGACGUUUGAUCACUUGGGAUGAUUUCCGUCGUGAUUUUCGAGCUCAUCACAUUCCUCAGAGUGCGACUGAAAGCAAACGUGAGGAAUUCCGCAAUCUGAAGCAAGGCUCUUUGUCUGUCUAUGACUACAACAAGUUGUUCCAGAAGCUCGCCCAUUUUGCCAAGCAGGAUGUUCCUGAUGAGAAGAGCAUGAUCUAUUAGUUCAGGGGUGGUCUCCGUGAAUAAAUUCAGCUCGCUCUCGUCCUCUUCGAGCCACUGAGAUACGAUGAGUUCUACAACAUGGCACUGAAGCAAGAGGCUGCUCAGUUGAGGUGUGAUGCUUCCAGGAAGCGAGUCAGAGACACUACGCCUUCUUCCUCUACUCAAGUGGCCAAGCAGCAGAAGUAUUGGCUUCCUCCUCCUCCGUUCCGUCAGCCGUAUCAGCAGAAGAGCAAAGGUGGCAGUGGUUCAUCCCACCCACCCAACCCAGGCUUUCAGAACAAGACUUCGUCUCAAGCUCCAAGAUCGAGUGCUCCGUACCACCGUCCGCUCUUAGAGGUCACGUGCAACAAGUGCCAACAGAAGGGGCACUACGCCAACAAGUGUUUCAACCAGAGGCGUCUUCCUCCUCCUCCUCCUGUCAGAUCGGCAAGUACAGCUGUGGUCAAGCAUAACCCCAAGUCCGCCAAGGUCAACUUGAUGAACGCAGCUCAGGCAGAGGAUUCGUCAGAUGUGAUCAUGGGUAACCUUCCUGUUAAUGAUAUUCCUGCAAAAGUUCUUUUUGAUACGGGUGCUUCGCAUUGCUUCAUCUCGAGGCCAUUUACAUCUAGGCAUGAAUUGGUUUCACAAGUUCUGCCUAGCCCAUUAGUAGUUGUUUCUCCUGGUAAGCGCAUGCAGGCUAACUCCAUCGUUCCGGAUGUCACUAUCACUUUGGGCGAUUAUAAGUUCUUGGCUUCUCCAACGGUUCUUGGUGAUUCUGAUAUCGAUCUUAUUCUUGGGAUGGACUGGCUCUCUAAACACAAGGCUCACCUCGAUUGUGCAGCCAGGCAGAUUCAACUGACGCAUUCGUAUGAGGAUGUCAUUGUCUUUGCCGCUCGUGAUGAUACAAUCCGGUUGUUUUCUCUCAAUGAGAAGGGUGAAUUAGAUGCUAUUUCGCAGAUUCCGGUUGUUUGUGAGUAUCAAGACGUCUUCCCAGAAGAACUCCCAGGCAUGCCUCCGCACCAGCCGGUUGAAUUUGUUAUUGAACUUGAGCCCGGUACGGAACAUGUGUGCAAACGUCCCUACAAGCUCGGCCCUGAAGAGUUGAAGGAGUUGAAGAAACAACUCGAUGUUCAAGAAAGAAUGGGUCUCAUUCGGCCUAGUACUUCUCCGUGGGGUUGUGGUGUUCUUUUUGUGAAGAAGAAGGAUGGAACGGACCGACUUUGUGUUGAUUAUCGUCCUUUGAACAAGAAGACCAUCAAGAACAAAUAUCCACUUCCCAACAUUAAUGAGCUGUUUGAACAACUCAAGGGUGCCCAAGUAUUCUCCAAGCUUGAUCUUCGUAUGGGUUAUCAUCAAAUUCGCAUUCGUGAGCAAGAUAUUCCCAAGACGGCUUUCAGGACAAGCUAUGGGUCAUAUGAAUACACUGUCAUGUCUUUUGGCCUCGCCAACGCUCCUCCGACGUUCUCUCGCAUGAUGAACUUCAUCUUCAACCCCUAGACCAAUGACUUCGUUUUGGUCUAUCUCAACGACAUUCUGGUUUUCUCGAAGAACAAGGAAGAUCAUGCCAAGCACUUGCGUUUGGUUCUUGACAAGCUCAGGGAACAUCAGUUCUACGCCAAGUUCUCCAAGUGUGAAUUUUGGCUCGAUGAGGUGCUUUAUCUUGGUCAUAUCAUCUCUGCCAAGGGCAUUCCCGUAGAUCCUGAGAAGGUGUCUGCAAUUGUUAAUUGGGAACCUCCUCAGAACGUGAAGCAACUCCGUAGCUUCCUUGGUCUCGCAAGCUAUUGCCAAAGAUUCGUUGAAAACUUUUCCAAGAUCGCGAAGCCUCUCUCAAAUCUUCUUCAGAAGCACGUCAAGUACGUUUGGUCUCCGGAGUGUGAUAUUGCUUUCAACGCUUUGAAAGAGAAAUUGAUCACUGCUCCAGUUCUGACUCCGCCGGAUGAAACCAAGCCGUACGAGGUCUUUUGUGAUGCCUCUCUCCAAGGUCUAGGUGCUGUACUGAUGCAAGAGAAGAAAGUGGUUGCUUAUACCUCUCACCAGUUGAAGCCUAAUGAGAAGAACUACCCCACUCAUGAUCUCAAGUUGGCGGCAGUUGUGCAUGCUUUAUUGACUUGGAGACAUCUUCUUUUGGGAAGGCAAGUGGACAUUUUCACUGAUCACAAGAGUCUCAAGUGUUGGGGAACGUAGUAAUUUCAAAAAAUUUCCUACGCACACGCAAGAUCAUGGUGACGCAUAGCAAUGAGGGGGAGAGUCUGAUAUACGUACCCUUGUAGAUCGCAACGGAAGCGUUGACACAACGUAGAGGAAGUAGUCGUACGUCUUCCCGAUCCGACCGAUCCAAGCACCGUUACUCCGGCACCUCCGAGUUCUUAGCACAUGUUCAGCUCGAUGACGAUCCUCGGGCUCCGAUCCAGCAAAGCGUCGAGGAAGAGUUCCGUCAGCACGACGGCGUGGUGACGAUCUUGAUGUACUACCGACGCAGGGCUUCGCCUAAGCACUACAACGGUAUGAUCGAGGUGGAAUUUGGUGGCAGGGGGCACCGCACACGGCUAAGGAACGAUCUCAAGGAUCAACUUGUGUGUCUAGAGGUGCCCCCUGCCCCCGUAUAUAAAGGUUGAGAGGGGGAGGGCUGGCCGGCCAAGCUAGGGAGGCGCAGGAGGAGUCCUACUCCUACCGGGAGUAGGACUCCCCCCCAAUCCUAUUCCUAAUAGUACUCCCAAGUGGAAAGAGAGGGAGAGAGGUGGCCGGCCACCUCUCCUAGUCCUAAUAGGACUAGGGGAGGGGGGUGGCGCGCAGCCCACCUUGGGCUGCCCCUUUCACCUUUCCACUAAGGCCCAAUAAGGCCCAUUUAGUUCCCGGGGGGUUCCGGUAACCUCCCGGUACUCCGGUAAAAUUCCCGAUUUCACCCGGAACACUUCCGAUGUCCAAACAUAGGCUUCCAAUAUAUCAAUCUUUAUGUCUCGACCAUUUCGAGACUCCUCGUCAUGUCCGUGAUCACAUCCGGGACUACGAACAACCUUCGGUACACCAAAAUGCAUAAACUCAUAAUAACUGUCAUCGUAACGUUAAGCGUGCGGACCCUACGGUUCGAGAACAAUGUAGACAUGACCGAGACACAUCUCCGGUCAAUAACCAAUAGCGGGACCUGGAUGUCCAUAUUGACUCCUACAUAUUCUACGAAGAUCUUUAUCGGUCAGACCGCAUAACAACAUACGUUGUUCCCUUUGUCAUCGGUAUGUUACUUGCCCGAGAUUCGAUCGUCGGUAUCCAAUACCUAGUUCAGUCUCAUUACUGGCAAGUCUCUUUACUCGUUCUGUAAUACAUCAUCUCACAACUAACAUCUUAGUUAUAAUGCUUGCAAGGCUUAUGUGAUGUGUAUUACCGAGAGGGCCCAGAGAUACCUCUCCGACAAUCGGAGUGACAAACCCUAAUCUCGAAAUACGCCAACCCAACAUCUACCAUUGGAGACACCUGUAGUACUCCUUUAUAAUCACCCAAUUACGUUGUGACGUUUGGUAGUACCCAAAGUGUUCCUCCGGCAAACGGGAGUUGCAUAAUCUCAUAGUCAUAGGAACAUGUAUAAGUCAUGAAGAAAGCAAAUAGCAACAUACUAAACGAUCGGGUGCUAAGCUAAUGAAAUGGGUCAUGUCAAUCAGAUCAUUCAACUAAUGAUGUGACCUCGUUAAUCAAAUAACAACUCUUUGUUCAUGGUUAGGAAACAUAACCAUCUUUGAUUAACGAGCUAAGCAAGUAGAGGCAUACUAGUGACACUCUGUUUGUCUAUGUAUUCACACAUGUAUUAUGUUUCCGGUUAAUACAAUUCUAGCAUGAAUAAUAAACAUUUAUCAUGAUAUAAGGAAAUAAAUAAUAACUUUAUUAUUGCCUCCAGGGCAUAUUUCCUUCAUCAGGUACAUCUUCACUCAGCCUAAUCUCAACCUCAGGCAAACUCAAUGGGUCGAAAUGAUUCAAGAGUACAAUCUGAGUAUUGAGUAUACUCCAGGCAAGGCCAAUGUGAUUGCUGACGCUUUGAGCAGAAAAGCAUAUUGCAACAGUCUGAUUCUCAAGCCUUAUCAACCCGAGCUUUGUGAAGCCUUCCGCAAACUUAAUUUGCAAAUUGUUCCUCAAGGUUUCCUCGCCAACCUUCAAGUCUCUCCUACCUUGGAAGACCAGAUUCGCCAAGCCUAGCUUCUUGAUGCUAUGGUGAAAAAGGUGAAGAUUGGUAUUGCAAAGAGUCAGUCCAAGUACAAGUGCUACCGACUUGAUGACAAGGACACUCUCUUCUUCAAGGAUCGAAUUGUUGUGCCCAAAGGUGAACUUCGUAAAGUGAUCAUGAAUGAGGCUCACAACUCUCUCCUCUCCAUCCACCCUGGGAGCACGAAGAUGUAUCAAGAUCUGAAGCAAACUUAUUGGUGGACUCGAAUGAAGCGCGAGAUCGCUCAAUUCGUGAAUGAAUGUGAUGUCUGCAGAAGAGUGAAGGCAGAACACCAAAGGCCAGCAGGUCUCCUCCAACCUCUUGCCAUUCCAGAAUGGAAGUUUGACCACAUUGAAAUGGACUUCGUGACUGGGUUUCCAAAGUCCAAGCGUGGCAAUGAUGCUAUAUUCGUUGUCAUCGACAAGCUCACCAAAGUGGCUCACUUUCUGCCUAUCAAAGAGUCUAUCACUGUAGCUCAAUUGGCGGAACUCUACACCUCUCGAAUUGUCUCUCUUCACGGUAUUCCUCAAGUGAUAUCUUCAGACCGUGGCAACAUCUUUACCUCCAAGUUUUGGGAUUCUUUUCAGAAGGCAAUGGGCACCAAUAUCCGCUUCAGCACUGCUUUUCAUCCUCAAACAAGCGGUCAAGUCGAGCGUGUCAACCAGAUUCUUGAAGAUAUGCUUAGGGCUUGUGUUAUCUCCUUCGGCAUGAAGUGGGAGGAUGGUCUUCCUUAUGCUGAAUUCUCGUACAACAACAGUUUUCAAGCAAGUUCGGGCAAGGCCCCAUUUGAAAUUCUGUAUGGUAGGAAGUGCCGUACACCUCUCAACUGGUCUGAAACCGGUGAAUGUCAGCUGCUGGGUAAUGACCUAAUCACAGAGGCAGAAGAAAUGUGCAAGGUCAUUCGUGAUAACCUCAAAGCAGCCCAAUCCCGCCAGAAGAGCUACUAUGAUAGUAAGCACCGUGAUCUGGCUUUCGAGAUCGGAGAUCAUGUUUACCUCCGCGUCUCUCCUAUGAAAGGGACUCGUCGCUUCGGUAUCAAAGGGAAGCUUGCCCCCACAUACGUCGGGCCUUUCAAGAUUGUCAGCAAGAGAGGCGACCUCGCCUAUCAACUCGAGCUUCCUUCAAACUUUGCCAAUGUUCAUGAUGUGUUCCAUGUCUCCCAACUCCGAAAGUGCUUCAAGACGCCUGAGCGCAUAGUCAACUUCGAGGACAUUGAGCUCCAAGAAGAUCUCUCCUAUCGUGAGCACCCAGUUGCAAUCCUUGAAGAGACUGAACGCAGAACUCGCAACAAGUCAAUCAAAUUUCUCAAAGUAAAGUGGUCACACCAUUCCGACCGUGAAGCUACCUGGGAACGCGAGGAUCACCUCCGUUCUGAGUACCCGGAGUUCUUUCAGUCCUAGAUCUCGGGACGAGAUCUAUUCAUAGUGGUGGAGUGUUGUAACGCCCCAGAUAUUACUUUCCCAAUUUGUACUCCAACUCUUGCCGUUUCCGGCAUUAAGUUAUAUUUAUUUCUCGAGUUCGGGUCUUUGUCUCCGUGUGUUGUUUUCGUUUUCAUGCAUCUCAUAUCAUGUCAUCACGUGCAUUGCAUUUGCAUGCAUGUUCAUCUCAUGCAUUCGAGCAUUUUCCCCGUUGUCCGUUUUGCAUUCCGGCGCUUCGUUCUCCUCCGGUGGCCAUUUCUAGCUUUCUUUCGUGUGUGGGGAUUAAACAUUUCCGGAUUGGACCGAGACUUUCCAUGCGGCCUUGGUUUACUACCGGUAGACCGCCUGUCAAGUUUUGGGUCAUUUGGACUUCGUUUGAUACUCCAACGGUUAACCGAGGGACCGAAAAGGCCUCGUGUGUGUUGCAGCCCAACACCCCUCCAAUUUGGCCCAAAACCCACCAAACUCUGCUCCAUCGUCUCGGUCGUUCGAUCAUGAUCGCGUGGGCAAAAACCGCACCUUAUUUGGACACUCCUAGCUCCCUCUAUGCCUAUAUAUACACCCCCCC